rnacentral:rRNA from 1 species
UCUUCCGCAAUGGACGAAAGUCUGACGGAGCAACGCCGCGUGAGUGAUGAAGGUUUUCGGAUCGUAAAACUCUGUUGUUAGGGAAGAACAAGUACCGUUCGAAUUGGGCGCCUCCUUGACGGUACCUAACCAGAAAGCCACGGCUAACCAUGUUCCACCAGCCGCGGUAAUACGUAGGUGGCAAGCGUUUUCCGGAAUUAUUGGGCGUAAAGCGCGCGCAGGCGGUUUCUUAAGUCUGAUGUGAAAGCCCCCGGCUCAACCGGGGAGGGUCAUUGGAAACUGGGGAACUUGAGUGCAGAAGAGGAGAGUGGAAUUCCACGUGUAGCGGUGAAAUGCGUAGAGAUGUGGAGGAACACCAGUGGCGAAGGCGACUCUCUGGUCUGUAACUGACGCUGAGGCGCGAAAGCGUGGGGAGCGAACAG